AACGCACCUUGCGCUCCUUGGUAUUCCGAGGAGCAUGCCUGUUUGAGUGUCAUUAAAUUCUCAACCUCACCAGUUUUCUGAACUGCGUCGAGGCUUGGAUGUGGGGGUUUGUGCAGGCUGCCUCAGCGCGGUCUGCUCCCCUGAAAUGCAUUAGCGAGGUUCAUACUGAGCUUCCGUCUAUUGGUGUGAUAAUUAUCUACGCCGUGGACAGGGUUCAGACUCGCUUCUAACCGUCCCUCGGGACAAUACCCUUGACAAUUUGACCUCAAAUCAGGUAGGACUACCCGCUGAACUUAA
rnacentral:misc_RNA from 1 species